GCGGAGGCCGCGAACGGGGGCAAAGAAACAGAAAAGCUCCCUGGUCCGGCCUGAACCUCACACACCCCCUCGGCGCGGCGCGGCCUCCGCUGCCUCCGUUAGCGGCUCCGUCUGGGGGGCGUUAACGCGGGGACCUUGGUUUCCCCUGUGCUCGCAGCGUCACACAGCGGGUGUUUUUUUUUUCCUUCCUCUUUUUUUUUUUUUUCCUUUCUUUCCCUCGUUAUUUUAUGUAUUUAGUUAGUUAUGUUAUCUGUUUCCUCCUUCCUUCCUUCCUUUUUUCCUUUAAACAUAAGAGAGCAAACCCCGGAAUUCAGGCAACUUACAUCAACAAAUUGGCCCAUGUGAUUUUAGCAUGAAGAAAAAAAAUUACAAAAAAGAAAACUAGAGAAGUUUAAGGGAAGAAGAAUGUUGCAGUCGGUUAAAAAACGGGAAGGAGAGAAAGGAAGAAAGAAGAAACAGAAACCAGGAAAGAACCAAAGAACCAGAAAGAGAGAGAGAAAGAGAGAAAAAGACCCAGCCCCACGCGCCCGCUGGAAGGUCAAAGGUCUCAGCUGAAGUCUUUGGGAGCUACCGUAAUACCACUAACGACACCCCCAUCUCCAACUGGCAAGUGCUACCACCGGGCUGUUAAUACAAGGCAUGCUGUACCAGACACCACCCCACCUCACCGUACCGUAAGUGCUCCUUAUAAAGCGCACACCACACGGGGGACCCCAGUCUCAGCGUGAGUUAUAAGCGGGGUGGGGGGUCCAUCAAGGGGCUCCCAUAAUGUUACUAAUGAAGUGCACACCAUAACAGAGACCCUGACCCCAGACUGGCCAGCAGGGUAUGGGCGCUACUGUAACACCACUAAUAAAGUGCACUCUGUAAUGCAGACCCCGAUUCCGGACUGGGGGUGCUACCAUAAUGACUCUAAUAAGGUGCACUCCAUGACACGGACCCUGGCCCCAAGCUGAGUAUAUGAUCGUUACCGUAAUACCACUAAUAGACAGCAUUAUAAAAUGGAGACCCCCGAUGGCAGUAGUGGGGGAGGGGGUGCUGGCGAUUACCGUAAUACUACUGAGGAAGCACAGCUGGAAGCAGGCCAGGCGCCAAGGCAGGGAAGGGCCCGCGGGGCUGACGGGUGUGACAGAUGCUGUGCAUGGCUCCAGUGGUGGGGGA